UCCUGGCUCAGGACGAACGCUGGCGCGUGCUUAACACAUGCAAGUCGAACGAUGAACCACUUCGGUGGGGAUUAGUGCGAACGGGUGAGUAACACGUGGGCAUCUGCCCUUCACUCUGGGACAAGCCCUGGAAACGGGGUCUAAUACCGAUACUGACCCUCGCAGGCAUCUGCGAGGUUCGAAGCUCCGGCGGUGAAGGAUGAGCCCGCGGCCUAUCAGCUUGUUGGUGAGGUAAUGGCUCACCAAGGCGACGACGGGUAGCCGGCCUGAGAGGGCGACCGGCCACACUGGGACUGAGACACGGCCCAGACUCCUACGGGAGGCAGCAGUGGGGAAUAUUGCACAAUGGGCGAAGCCUGAUGCAGCGACGCCGCGUGAGGGAUGACGCCUUCGGGUUGUAAACCUCUUUCAGCAGGGAAGAACGAAAGUGACGGUACCUGCAGAAGAAGCGCCGGCUAACUACGUGCCAGCAGCCGCGGUAAUACGUAGGGCGCAAGCGUUGUCCGGAAUUAUUGGGCGUAAAGAGCUCGUAGGCGGCUUGUCACGUCGGUUGUGAAAGCCCGGGGCUUAACCCGGGUCUGCAGUCGAACGGGCAGGCUAGAGUUCGGUAGGGAGAUCGGAAUUCCUGGUGUAGCGGUGAAAUGCGCAGAUAUCAGGAGGAACACCGGUGGCGAAGGCGGAUCUCUGGGCCGAUACUGACGCUGGGAGCGAAAGCGUGGGGAGCGAACAGGAUUAGAUACCCUGGUAGUCCACGCCGUAAACGGUGGGCACUAGGUGUGGGCAACAUUCCACGUUGUCCGUGCCGCAGCUAACGCAUUAAGUGCCCCGCCUGGGGGUACGGCCGCAAGGCUAAAACUCAAAGGAAUUGACGGGCCCGCACAAGCGGCGGAGCAUGUGGCUUAAUUCGACGCAACGCGAAGAACCUUACCAAGGCUUGACAUACACCGGAAAGCAUCAGAGAUGGUGCCCCUUGUGGUCGGUGUACAGGUGUGCAUGGCUGUCGUCAGCUCGUGUCUGAGAUGUUGGGUUAAGUCCCGCAACGAGCGCAACCCUUGUCCCGUGUUGCCAGCAAGCCCUUCGGGGUGUUGGGGACUCACGGGAGACCGCCGGGGUCAACUCGGAGGAAGGUGGGGACGACGUCAAGUCAUCAUGCCCUUAUGUCUUGGGCUGCACACGUGCUACAAUGCCGGUACAAUGAGCUGCGAUACCGCAGGUGGAGCGAAUCUCAAAAAGCCGGUCUCAGUUCGGAUUGGGUCUGCAACUCGACCCCAUGAAGUCGGAGUGCUAGUAAUCGCAGAUCAGCAUUGCUGCGGGAAUACGUUCCGGGCCUUGUACACAGCCCGUCACGUCACGAAAGUCGGUAACACCCGAAGCCGGUGGCCCAACCCUUGUGGGAGGAGCUGUCGAAGGUGGGACUGGCGAUUGGACGAAGUCGUAACAAGGUAGCCGUACCGGAAGGUGCGGCUGGAUCACCUCCUU
rnacentral:rRNA from 1 species